CUCUGGGAUAACCCCGAGAAAUCGGAGCUAAUACCGGACUAGGACCUCGAAUCGCAUGGUUUGGGGUGGAAAGUUUUUCGGUCUGGGAUGGACUCGCGGCCUAUCAGCUUGUUGGUGAGGUAAUGGCUCACCAAGGCGUCGACGGGUAGCCGGCCUGAGAGGGUGACCGGCCACACUGGGACUGAGACACGGCCCAGACUCCUACGGGAGGCAGCAGUGGGGAAUAUUGCACAAUGGGCGCAAGCCUGAUGCAGCAACGCCGCGUGAGGGAUGACGGCCUUCGGGUUGUAAACCUCUUUUAGUAGGGAAGAAGGGCUUCGGCUUGACGGUACCUGC
rnacentral:rRNA from 2 species